rnacentral:other from 1 species
GACCCCCUGCAAGGCUCGUGAUGGAAAAACAUUUUUGAACCAACAUCUCAAUAAUGGGAGCCCGAGUUCCUUGCGGUGAGCGGCCCCGAGAGGGGAUGCCUGAAGCGAGGAAGAGGGCACCCACCUGGUAGUCCAGGUUCAAAUUGAGCCUUCCACACGGCCCCCGCGGGGGCGCC